rnacentral:lncRNA from 1 species
GCCAGGUUGGCGAAGCGGCGGGCGCAGGCGGCGCAGGGGAAGACGCCGGUCUGGUGGGUCUUGCGGUGGUUCACCAGGCUGCCGCCGUGCCGGUAGGUCUUGCCGCAGACGGCGCAGGCGUAAGGACGCCGCUCCGGUGCCGGCGACGCCGCAUUGUCCGUGUCAUCCGCGUCCGUGUCCGGGCGGAGGAGCCGGCUGUGCUCCUCCAAGCUGCUCAGGUCGUCGAAGGUGCGUCCGCAGCAGCCGCAGAUGUGCGAGAGCAGCGCGUCCUCCGCGGUGGCCGCGCCGGCGCCUUGACCGUGGCGGUGGCAGCGGUGGUGGCAGCGGUGGUGGCGGUGGCAGUGGCGGCGGCGGUGUCCCCGCAGGUGGCUCUUGAGGGCGCCGGCGUUGGCGAAGCGCUUGGCGCACAGCGAGCAGCCGAAGUCGCCCGUCUGGUGGGUGGCGCGGUGGUUGAUGAGGCUGCCCGAGUGCCGGUAGCUCUUGCCGCACAGCUCGCAGCGGUACAGCCGCUCGUCGUCCCCGUCCCCGCGCUGUGUCACCCCCUGCCGCCGCCGCCGCAGGUGGCCCCGCACGUGGUUGCGCAGCGCCAUGAGGUUGCCCAAGCGCUUGGGGCAGAGGGAGCAGGGGAAGACGCCGGGCCGGUGCGUGUGCCGGUGGUUGGCCAAGCUGCCGCGGUGCCGGUAGCGGCGCCCGCACUCGCCGCAGCCGUAGGGCCGCCGCUGCGCCGCCUCCCGCCCCCCUGCCUCCCCCCCCUCCUCCUCCUCCUCCUCCUCCUCCUCGGCGCGGCGCUGGGGGGCGGCCGGGGGGCGCAGGUGGCCCCGCACAUGGCUCUUGAGGGCGGCCAGGUUGAAGAGCCGCUUGCCGCAGGCGCCGCAGCCGUAGACGCCCGUCUGGUGGCUCUCGCGGUGGUUCACCAGGCUGCCGGCGUGGCGGUAGGUGCGGCCGCACUGGGCGCAGCGGAAGGGCCGGGCUUCGGCCUCCGCCGCCGCCGCCGCCCCCUCCUCCUCCUCCUCCUCUUCGCGCGGCUCUUCUUCAUCCUCCUCCUCGUCGUCAUCGUCGCCAUCGUCGUGGUGCUGCUCGAAGGCGGCCGGAGCCGCCGCCGCCUCGGCCAGGUAGCGCCGCA